GGAUGAGCUGUGGAUAGGGGUGAAAGGCUAAACAAACUUGGAGAUAGCUGGUUCUCUCCGAAAACUAUUUAGGUAGUGCCUCAAGUAUUACCUGCGGGGGUAGAGCACUGUUUUGGCUAGGGGGUCAUGGCGACUUACCAAACCAAGGCAAACUCCGAAUACCGCAGAGUACAGCUUGGGAGACAGAGCACCGGGUGCUAACGUCCGGACUCAAGAGGGAAACAACCCAGACCGCCAGCUAAGGUCCCUAAAAUUGGCUAAGUGGGAAACGAAGUGGGAAGGCUAAAACAGUCAGGAUGUUGGCUUAGAAGCAGCCAUCAUUUAAAGAAAGCGUAAUAGCUCACUGAUCGAGUCGUCCUGCGCGGAAGAUGUAACGGGGCUAAGCCAGUUACCGAAGCUGCGGAUUUGCAAUUUAUUGCAAGUGGUAGGAGAGCGUUCUGUAAGCCUGUGAAGGUGUCUUGUGAAGGAUGCUGGAGGUAUCAGAAGUGCGAAUGCUGACAUGAGUAGCGUUAAAGGGGGUGAAAAGCCCCCUCGCCGUAAGCGCAAGGUUUCCUACGCAACGUUCAUCGGCGUAGGGUGAGUCGGCCCCUAAGGUGAGGCAGAGAUGCGUAGCUGAUGGGAAACAGGUUAAUAUUCCUGUACCGAUUACAAGUGCGAUGUGGGGACGGAGAAGGUUAGCUCAGCCAACUGUUGGAUAUGUUGGUUCAAGCCUGUAGUCAUGCCUGGUAGGCAAAUCCGCCGGGCUAAGAUGAGGGGUGAUAACGAGUGUGCUUGCACACGAAGUGAGUGAUACCCUGCUUCCAGGAAAAGCCACUAAGCUUCAGCUUGUAACGACCGUACCGCAAACCGACACUGGUGCGCGAGAUGAGUAUUCUAAGGCGCUUGAGAGAACUCUGGAGAAGGAACUCGGCAAAUUGACACCGUAACUUCGGGAGAAGGUGUGCCCUCAGUAGGUGAACCUGUACAAGGGGAGCCCAAAGGGGUUGCAAAGAAUAGGUGGCUGCGACUGUUUAUUAAAAACACAGCACUCUGCAAACACGAAAGUGGACGUAUAGGGUGUGACGCCUGCCCGGUGCUGGAAGAUUAAAUGAUGGGGUGCAAGCUCUUGAUUGAAGUCCCAGUAAACGGCGGCCGUAACUAUAACGGUCCUAAGGUAGCGAAAUUCCUUGUCGGGUAAGUUCCGACCUGCACGA
rnacentral:rRNA from 1 species